AUGUAGCCAAGUGGAUCAAGGCAGUGGAUUGUGAANCCCCCAUGCGCGA
rnacentral:tRNA from 1 species